rnacentral:rRNA from 1 species
UACGGGAGGCAGCAGGGGGAAUAUUGCACAAUGGGCGCAAGCCUGAUGCAGCCAUGCCGCGUGUAUGAAGAAGGCCUUCGGGUUGUAAAGUACUUUCAGUCGUGAGGAAGGUGUUAAGGUUAAUAACCUUAGCAAUUGACGUUAGCGACAGAAGAAGCACCGGCUAACUCCGUGCCAGCAGCCGCGGUAAUACGGAGGGUGCGAGCGUUAAUCGGAAUUACUGGGCGUAAAGGGCACGCAGGCGGUUAAUUAAGUUGGAUGUGAAAUCCCCGGGCUUAACCUGGGAAUGGCAUUCAAGACUGGUUAGCUAGAGUCUUGUAGAGGGGGUAGAAUUCCAUGUGUAGCGGUGAAAUGCGUAGAGAUGUGGAGGAAUACCGGUGGCAAAGGCGGCCCCUGGACAAAAGACUGGACGCUCAUGUGCGAAAGCUGGGGACGAAACAGGAUUAGAUACC